UUUCCGUAGGUGAACCUGCGGAAGGAUCAUUAACGCAUCUUUGACGGCGGCGGCCGUCGCUGCUCCGUACCGAAACGCCGUGCAGCGGCCGCCCCCGAGUCGCUCAACCAUCGCAAACCCACCGUUCACUUUCGUCGGCGAGGCGCUUAGCGCCCCGAGCCGGAUCGCAAACACCUCUUCUAAAACAGAAUGAUCAGCGGACCUGCGUGCCGCCUAAACUUAAACAACUUUCAACAACGGAUCUCUUGGCUCUC
rnacentral:misc_RNA from 1 species